rnacentral:piRNA from 1 species
GAUACUUGCUCGUGUCUUCAAAGGAAUGC